rnacentral:tmRNA from 1 species
GGGGAUGCACCGGUUUCGACUGGUACGGUUCGGGGUAUAGGCUGCAGGUGGAGUGCCGAGCUCCUGAUUCGGCAACAAUUUAACUGCCAACAACGACAGUUACGCUCUCGCCGCGUAAGCGGUAGAACGCGGAAACCAACCCCGCCGCCUUGAGGGGUUGAGCUUCCGUCGCAAUCAAGGCUGGCCAAGCUCCUUUUCCGGAGGGGGUGCGGUGAGAUUAUUCCGGAAUACGGAGGGGCCGCGCGCUGCGCAGCCAAGCCCGUCCCGACAAUUUGAUGCGCGGCUAAACCUGUAGAGGCUUAUAUUUCGCGUAUUAGGACGCGGGUUCGAUUCCCGCCAUCUCCA